UUACCAAGGCUACGAUGGGUAGGGGUCCUGAGAGGGAGAUCCCCCACACUGGUACUGAGACACGGACCAGACUCCUACGGGAGGCAGCAGUGAGGAAUAUUGGACAAUGGGCGCAAGCCUGAUCCAGCCAUGCCGCGUGCAGGAUGACGGUCCUAUGGAUUGUAAACUGCUUUUAUACGAGAAGAAACACUCCUACGUGUAGGAGCUUGACGGUAUCGUAAGAAUAAGGAUCGGCUAACUCCGUGCCAGCAGCCGCGGUAAUACGGAGGAUCCAAGCGUUAUCCGGAAUCAUUGGGUUUAAAGGGUCCGUAGGCGGUUUAAUAAGUCAGUGGUGAAAGCCCAUCGCUCAACGGUGGAACGGCCAUUGAUACUGUUAAACUUGAAUUAUUAGGAAGUAACUAGAAUAUGUAGUGUAGCGGUGAAAUGCUUAGAGAUUACAUGGAAUACCAAUUGCGAAGGCAGGUUACUACUAAUUGAUUGACGCUGAUGGACGAAAGCGUGGGUAGCGAACAGGAUUAGAUACCCUGGUAGUCCACGCCGUAAACGAUGGAUACUAGCUGUUGGGAGCAAUCUCAGUGGCUAAGCGAAAGUGAUAAGUAUCCCACCUGGGGAGUACGUUCGCAAGAAUGAAACUCAAAGGAAUUGACGGGGGCCCGCACAAGCGGUGGAGCAUGUGGUUUAAUUCGAUGAUACGCGAGGAACCUUACCAAGGCUUAAAUGUAGAUUGACCGAUUUGGAAACAGAUCUUUCGCAAGACAAUUUACAAGGUGCUGCAUGGUUGUCGUCAGCUCGUGCCGUGAGGUGUCAGGUUAAGUCCUAUAACGAGCGCAACCCCUGUUGUUAGUUGCCAGCGAGUCAAGUCGGGAACUCUAACAAGACUGCCAGUGCAAACUGUGAGGAAGGUGGGGAUGACGUCAAAUCAUCACGGCCCUUACGCCUUGGGCUACACACGUGCUACAAUGGCCGGUACAGAGAGCAGCCACUGGGCGACCAGGAGCGAAUCUAUAAAACCGGUCACAGUUCGGAUCGGAGUCUGCAACUCGACUCCGUGAAGCUGUAAUCGCUAGUAAUCGGAUAUCAGCCAUGAUCCGGUGAAUACGUUCCCGGGCCUUGUACACACCGCCCGUCAAGCCAUGGAAGCUGGGGGUGCCUGAAGUCGGUGACCGCAAGGAGCUGCCUAGGGUAAAACUGGUAACUAGGGCUAAGUCGUAACAAGGUA
rnacentral:rRNA from 1 species